CCCUUAGAUGUUCUGGGCCGCACGCGCGCUACACUGAUGCAUUCAACGAGCCUAUCCUUGACCGACAGGUCCGGGUAAUCUUUGAAUCUGCAUCGUGACGGGGAUAGAUUAUUGCAAUUAUUAAUCUUCAACGAGGAUUGCCUUGUAAGCGCACGUCAUCAGCGUGCAUUGAAUACGACCCUGUAUUCUGUACACACCGCCCGUCGCUCCUACCGAUUGAAGUUUUCGGUGAGUUGACAGGAGGAUUUUUUUGAAACUGGUUCGCCAGUGGAUUUUAGAUCCAAAGGCCAACGAAUCGAUGGCUUUAGAGGAAGGAGAAGUCGUAACA
rnacentral:rRNA from 1 species